UCCCACGUAGCUCAGUUGGCAGAGCAAUCGGCUGUUAACCGAUAGGUCACUGGUUCGAGCCCAGUCGCGGGAG
rnacentral:tRNA from 1 species